AGAGUUUGAUCAUGGCUCAGAUUGAACGCUGGCGGUAUGCUUAACACAUGCAAGUCGAGCGGUAACAGACAGAGCUUGCUCUGUGCUGACGAGCGGCGGACGGGUGCGUAACGCGUGGGAAUCUGCCUUAUAGUGGAGGAUAGCCCGGUGAAAACCGGAUUAAUACUGCAUAAGUCCCCAUUCUUGAUUGGGUGGGGGGAAAGCUGGGGAUCUUCGGACCUGGCGCUAUUAGAUGAGCCCGCGUUAGAUUAGCUUGUUGGUGAGGUAAUGGCUCACCAAGGCAACGAUCUAUAGCUGGUCUGAGAGGACGAUCAGCCACACUGGGACUGAGACACGGCCCAGACUCCUACGGGAGGCAGCAGUGGGGAAUAUUGGACAAUGGGGGCAACCCUGAUCCAGCAAUGCCGCGUGUGUGAAGAAGGCCUGCGGGUUGUAAAGCACUUUCAGUAGAGAAGAAAAGCUUACGGUUAAUAACCGUGAGUCUUGACGUUACCUACAGAAGAAGCUCCGGCUAACUCCGUGCCAGCAGCCGCGGUAAUACGGAGGGAGCGAGCGUUAAUCGGAAUUACUGGGCGUAAAGCGCGCGUAGGCGGCUUUGUAAGUCGGAUGUGAAAGCCCUGGGCUCAACCUGGGAAUGGCAUUCGAUACUGCAUAACUAGAGUAUGGUAGAGGGAAGUGGAAUUUCCGGUGUAGCGGUGAAAUGCGUAGAUAUCGGAAGGAACACCAGU
rnacentral:rRNA from 1 species